AAAAGUUCGUUUCAGUUUUUCCAUAACAUUUUACAGAAAACCCAAAUGAACUUUUUGG
rnacentral:pre_miRNA from 1 species